rnacentral:rRNA from 1 species
UACAGAGGGGGCAAGCGUUGUUCGGAAUUACUGGGCGUAAAGGGCGCGUAGGCGGCCCGUUAAGUCGAACGUGAAAUCCCCAGGCUCAACCUGGGAACUGCGUCCGAUACUGGCGGGCUUGAAUCCGGGAGAGGGAUGCGGAAUUCCAGGUGUAGCGGUGAAAUGCGUAGAUAUCUGGAGGAAUACCGGUGGCGAAGGCGGCAUCCUGGGCCGGCAUUGACGCUGAGGAGCGAAAGCUAGGGGAGCAAACGGG